rnacentral:lncRNA from 1 species
AAUUCAUAUACAUGUAUAAAUUAACAAAUGAACAAAAAGUAUCAAUUAACAACUGGUAAGUCACUGGGGGGAAACAGCCACAUGCACAGUAUCCGAAUAACCGGAAUCAAGUUUCAAGUUUUCUCUUUUUAAAAUUUCCAUUUUGAGAGACAUAGUUUUGAAUAUUUACUUCUGUAUGCCAAUUGUAAAAACAGUUUCUUGUUGCUGAACAACAAAGUGGGACAUUACAAGUAUUACAAACUGAAAAUACUUUGUGGCUUGGUGACGGUAAACCAUCC